GCAUGUCUAAGUACAAGCUUUUUACGGUGAAACGGAUAAUGGUUCAUUACAUCAGUUUUAGUUUAUUUGGUAUACGUUUUCCAUGGAUAACGUGCUAAUUGUAGGGCUAAUACAAGUUCGAGGCCUUUUUGGCGGCGUUUAUUAGUUCUAAACCUCCCUUGGUUUUCGGUGAUUCAUAAUAAACUCGCGAAUCGCUUUUAGCGAUGGACCAUUCAAGUUUCUGACCCAUCAGCUUGACGGUAGGGUAUUGGCCUACCGAGGCAGCAAGGGGUAACGGGGAAUUAGGGUUCGAUUCCGGAGAGGGAGCCUGAGAAACGGCUACCACAUCUAAGGAAGGCAGCAGGCGCGCAAAUUACCCAAUCCUGACACAGGGAGGUUAGUGACAAGAAAUAACAAUACAGGGCAAUUGUCUUGUAAUUGGAAUGAUGGGAAUCC
rnacentral:rRNA from 1 species